GAAAGACAUGAGCAGCUUAGCAUUUUAGAAAGUUCAUUCGACUGAAAAUGUGCAGAAAGCACAAACUAAAGCACAGACACAAAACAAGUUCAGAGGAUGUGGCUGUCACCCAGGACACACACCACCUCAUCCAGCCACAGUGGCCACAGUCCUCAGACUGGACAGCCCCUGUGUACCUGGGAUGCGGAGAGUGACCCAAGCCUCAAUCCUGGCCAGUGAGACUGCCCAUCGAGGUGGAAAUCAUCGUCUUAAUUACCAAGGCUCCCUGGCCACCGGAGGAGACACGCAACACACAGCCUGCCUAAUGCGCCAGCAGCCGAGUUGGGGAGGUCCCUGGGAAAAAGGCCUAUGCUCCCCCAGCCAUUCUCAGGGCCUAGAAUGUUCUUUAGCACGAGAGAAGUGAAGGCUCAGGGGUCCAGUGGGGAGGGCCGGGUACCAGCCCAGAAGUAGGUCUAGCCAGGGAGGUGGAGUCCCCAAGAAACACCCUCAGGAGCCUGCUGAGUCACAAUCAUCCCUCACAGCACGAAUGUCUCGCCUGCUCCCUGCACGCAGCUCACCUGGGACUCUCCUUCUGCCGGCAGGGUGAGGGGCCUUUGAAAGGCCUAAACCAGAAAGGCUGGAGGGGCUGAAGGCAGGAGCCAGCUGGCCCCAAUCCUGUUCUCUCUGGAGCCCCUCAGUCCUUAGCCCAGCCCCCAGGUGUGUCUUGUCUCCUUCUUAGAGGCUCCAACGGCCAGAGCUCCCCACUCCCAACCUACCAUCUUGUCCCAGAGAUGGAAGACAACAUGGGAGCGGCCCCUCACAGCCAGAGUACCUUCAAGACCAUGUGGCACCACCAGACUGAAACCCAGGUCCGGUGGGCUCUGCCAUCCCCAUGCCAAGCAGA
rnacentral:lncRNA from 1 species